AAAUGUUAAAUAUAAAUGUAAAUGUUAAAUCUAAAUGUUAAAUGUUAAAUGUUAAAUGUUAAAUGUUAAAUGUUAAAUGUUAAAUAUAAAUGUUAAAUGUUAAAUGUUAAAUGUUAAAUGUUAAAUGUUAAAUGUAAAUGUUAAAUGUUAAAUCUAAAUGUUAAAUGUUAAAUCUAAAUGUUAAAUCGAAAUGUUAAAUGUUAAAUAUAAAUGUUAAAUGUUAACUGUUAAAUGUAAAUGUUAAAUGUUAGAUCUAAAUGUUAAAUCUAAAUGUAAAUGUUAAAUGUUAAAUCUAAAUGUUAAAUGUAAAUGUUAAAUGAUCGAACUGAAUAUUUAAGUAGACUCCACCCCCUAUUAUCCUAGAUCAGUGACGUGGACUCAAACACCUCAAACAGUACGCAUAGCUCCGCCCACAUCUGACUCUGGAUCGGUGCACGAAAAUACUGGAGAGAAGCCUGAAGUCGAAGCCAUCAUGGCCGCCAGCUCCGACUCCCUCCCGUUGGGGGAGAUUGAACGGGCUGUAACGGCAGGUGUGCGGGCUGAGGCUCCGCUUCAAACUGCCGUUCUGUCGUAAACACCAUUAAUGAGGUUUAAAAAGAAUAUUUCUGUGGCGCCGGUGGAGAAUUAGUUGGCUAACUAUACUAGCUAGCCGAAGUUACGUCCAGGCUAAAAACAAAAGUUUCCAGAUCAGAUGUGGGCGGGGUUUGCGCGCACAGUUUGAGGUGAUUGAGUUCGCGUCUCUGAUCUGAGACCAGCGCUGUUUGAGGCGUUCUCCCGUGAGUGGCUCGUGUUCCUGCCACAGACCCGGACCUCCGGACCCCCAGACCUCCAGACCCCCAGACCUCCGGACCCCCAGACCUCCGGACCCCCAGACCUCCGGACCUCCAGCGCUGCGCGUGGAGCGGUAGCCUCGUCCUGAGCCCGUGCUGAGGACGUGCUACACCACGCUGUCCUGCACGAAGGUGGUGCUGAGCGACGUCUUCCGGUCCGCGGCGCCGCUGCCCCCCCGCCCCCCGCUGCUCCGCCGCUCCGUGUUCUCCACGUGGGCCGCGUACGUGGUGCUGAACACGUUCCUCAGGUUGAGCUGCGCCCGGAAGGCCUUGCAGAAGAUGAAGUAGAUGAGCGGGUCGAAGCAGAUGUUGAGGACGGACAGCACGACCGUCAGCUCCUUCAGGUAGAAGCUCCAGGAGCACUGGUUCCUCAGGAAGGCGUAGGGCAGGCGCACCAGGUGGUAGGGCACGAAGCACACGCAGAACACGCUGACCAGAACCAGCAUGUUCCGCCGAGACUUGGCCAGUUUCUUGGAGCUGGUGGACGUGGGCUGCCUCCGCUGCACCAGAGACAACCUGCGAGACGUGUUGUAGUAGAAGACCACCAGGGAGACGAGCACCAAGAGGAAGAUGAGGGUGGAGAAGGUGUGGAUGACUUUAUAGAGCAGGCUGAUCUGCUCGCUGUGCAGGGCGUCGCAGGUCACAGAGGCAGGAACCGAGGUCAGCGGCUUCUGGGUGAGCAGCGACACAAUGACGUACGACGUGGUGAUGGUCAGGAGGACCACCCAGGUUACCGUGGAGAUAAUGUAAGCAGCCUGCACCCUCUGCAGCACGGAGGUCCCCAGAGGAUGGACGAUCUUCAGGCCUGAAGCAACGUGGAGCCUCCUCCGGGAGGAGGCUAGGCCUGAACCUGAUGACGUCAUCUCUAGGCUGGGAAGCUUUGCUGCCCCCUUGUGGCCACAACUGUGGUGGCAUGUAUUCACCCAGAUAUUAUGAGUCGUUGUAAUGGACGUUGGAAAACACAACUGGAGACUUGAUAUGCUAAGACAUGCGUCCACACAGCGCUGCGAAGCCAGAGCCGCUCAGGCCUCACUGGACCGGAACCAGAGCCAGCAGAGGCCAAAGCUUUCAAACUGAGUUCCCACUCACUUCAGGAAUUAGAGCUUCUGCACAUUCUCUGGGGUUUUGUUGAAAAAAAAAUGUACGUGUGAUGUGUCUGUUCUUUUAGUUGUGUAACAGUGAAUCUCAUAGCAAGGAUGUGGCUAAUAGGCUAAUAGGCCUCAGCUGGUGAUGCGUUCAAACCACACGUCUUUUCUUUGAACAACCCCUGGUGUUUUGGAAAGUGGUGACUCAAAGCCACAUUCACUGCAGCAGUCAGCUGCGACACACACACAGACACACACAGACACACACCAAGAAGACACCAAGAACACACCGAAUCAGACUAAUUCAAAGGUUCCACCAUCAAAUGUUCCCUGUGUUCGCACCUUGUCCAGGUUGUUGUACAGUGUAUGUACAGUUUGCAUUGUUUAUCUGUACGGAGCAAAAUCUGGGCCAUGUGUUUAUAUGUUUUGAAAGUGAAAUAAAACUAUUUGAAACUAAAAAAACUAAAAAAACUAAAAAUCUUAAGUACUUGAGUUGAAACUGGAAAAAGAAGUGAAUGCAAGGUUUUUCAAUUUUCAUAUAUAAUCUGGAUAUUUUUCCGUUUCACUUUUUAUGUUUUCAAGUUUCAAUUCUUUCAA